GUGGGGAAUUUUGCGCAAUGGGGGAAACCCUGACGCAGCAACGCCGCGUGGGUGAUGAAGGCUUUCGGGUCGUAAAGCCCUGUCGGAUGGAACGAACCGACUAGUGCUAAUACCACUAGUCCUGACGGUACUAUCAAAGGAAGUCACGGCUAACUCUGUGCCAGCAGCCGCGGUAAUACAGAGGUGACAAGCGUUGUUCGGAAUUAUUGGGCGUAAAGCGAGUGUAGGCGGCUUGUUAAGUCAGAUGUGAAAGCCCAGGGCUUAACCCUGGAAGUGCAUUUGAAACUGGCAGGCUUGAGUACGGGAGAGGGUAGUGGAAUUCCGAGUGUAGAGGUGAAAUUCGUAGAUAUUCGGAGGAACACCGGUGGCGAAGGCGGCUACCUGGACCGAUACUGACGCUGAGACUCGAAAGCGUGGGGAGCAAACAGGAUUAGAAACCCGAGUAGUCC
rnacentral:rRNA from 1 species